rnacentral:rRNA from 1 species
AGAGUUUGAUCCUGGCUCAGGAUGAACGCUGGCGGUAUGCCUUACACAUGCAAGUCGAACGGGAAUUAGCCUCGGUUAAUUCUAGUGGCGGACGGGUGAGUAACACGUGAGAAUUCGCCUUUAGGAGGGGGAUAACGAAUGGAAACAUUCGCUAAAACCCCAUAUGCCCCUGGGUGAAAAAGAGGAGAUAAGUUAAACUGAAUCACCUCUGCCUGAAGAGAAGCUCGCGGCUGAUUAGCUAGUUGGUAGGGUAAUGGCCUACCAAGGCGACGAUCAGUAGCUGGUCUGAGAGGACGAUCAGCCACACUGGAACUGAGACACGGUCCAGACUCCUACGGGAGGCAGCAGUGAGGAAUUUUCUGCAAUGGGCGAAAGCCUGACAGAGCAAUACCGCGUGAGGGAUGAAGACUUACUGAGUUGUAAACCUCGGUGCCUUAAGGAAGAAGAUCUGACGGUACUUAAGGUGGAAAGCAUCGGCUAACUCCGUGCCAGCAGCCGCGGUAAGACGGGGGAUGCAAGUGUUAUCCGGAAUUACUGGGCGUAAAGCGUCUGCAGGUGGUUUCUUAAGUCUACUGUUAAAUCUUGAGGCUCAACCUCAAAUCUGCAGUAGAAACUAGGAGACUUGAGUAUAGUAGGGGUAGAGGGAAUUUCCAGUGGAGCGGUGAAAUGCGUAGAUAUUGGAAAGAACACCGAUGGCGAAGGCACUCUACUGGGCUAUUACUGACACUCAGAGACGAAAGCUAGGGGAGCAAAUGGGAUUAGAUACCCCAGUAGUCCUAGCCGUAAACGAUGGAUACUCG